rnacentral:rRNA from 1 species
AUCCUACGGGGGGCAGCAGUGGGGAAUAUUGCACAAUGGGGGGAACCCUGAUGCAGCAAUGCCGCGUGGGUGAAGAAGCACUCCGGUGCGUAAAGCCCUGUCAGCAGGGAAGAAAAUGACAGUACCUGAUUAAGAAGCCCCGGCUAACUACGUGCCAACAGCCGCGGUAAUACGUAGGGGGCAAGCGUUAUCCGGAUUUACUGGGUGUAAAGGGAGCGUAGACGGCAGCGCAAGUCUGAAGUGAAAUGCCGGGGCUUAACCCCGGAACUGCUUUGGAAACUGUGCAGCUAGAGUGCAGGAGAGGG